AACCUGUAAUAAAAAAAAAAGCAAGGAGGUUAAAAAAAAAUCGCAUUAGGGAAGUUCGUAAUAUCAGCCAGAAAUGCCAAUUUUAACUGUAUCAAAUAAAUGAGGAAAGAAAAAUUAGAAUAACACAUUUAUUAUUUUCCCCAGUACAUAGCAUAUAGAUGGAUCAGUUGUGAUUUCACACAUUUAGAAGUUGAAAAACUGUAGUAUUUUAUGCUUUACUAUGCAGUUGAAAGCCAAUUUGUGCCCUUGGUAGCUCACAUGGGAUUUUUAUAUUACUUCCAAUGUAUUCUUUGUAUGCAGGGAAAAGGAAUUGAAGUAGCACCUAUAAAACACAGUUUUAUUAUUACAGCCUGAACACUGAGCUUCAUAUUGCAUCUUGCCAUCCUCCAGCAUUCAUGAGUUUAUACCAAUUAUGUUUUAAUUGUAGUCAUGGCUGAUAGCUAAUGUCUUGUGACCUUAAAUACAGUGUUUCCAGACAGGCAUGAACAGUUGGCCCAGGAGAACCUCAUGAGGUUCAACAAAUCCAAGUACAAGGUCCUGUUCCAGGGUUGAGGCAACCCCCACAACAAAUACAAGCUAAAGGAUGAAAGCACUGAGCACAGCUCUGCUGAAAAGAACUUACAGGUACUGGUGGAUUGGAAGCUGAACAUGAGCCAGUAAUGUGCCCUCACAACCCAGAAAGCAACCAUAUCCAGAAGCAGCGUGGCUAGCAGGAUGAGGAAUGUGAUCCUGCCCCUCUACUCUGCACUGGUGACACCUCACCUGGAGUAGUGCAUCCAAAUGUGGAUUACCUCAGUACAGGAGAGACAUAAACCUGUUGGAGCACAUCCAGAGGAGGGCAACAAACAUCAUCCAAGGGGUGGAGCACCUCUCCUACAAGGACAGUCUGAUGAGAGAGCUGGGGCUGUUCAGACUAGAAAAGAGAAGACUCCAAGGUAACCUGAGAGUGGCUUUUCAAUAUCUAAAGGGGAACUACAGGAAAGAAAAGGACAGACUCAGUAACAGGGUCUGUUCUGAUAGGGCAAGGGGAAAUGGUUUCAAGCUUAAAGAUGGUAGAUUUAGACUGGACAGAAGGAAAACACCUUUUCCAGUGAGGGCAGAGAGACACUGGAACAUGUUGUCCAGAGACGUGGUGGAUGCCCCAUCCCUGGGGACAUCCAACGCAAAGUUGGAGCAGGCUCUGAGCAACCUGAUCUAGCUGUGCAAGGCCCAGUUCACUAUUUAGGAAACAGUUAUCACUUUAUCAAGGGAGAUUAAAAUAAAGAAAGGAAUUACUUUCAAAUUUUUUUUUUUUUUUUUUUUUGAGAGAGAGAAAUAGCACUGCACAGGGUCAUGUCUCUUUUACUUAAGUAGGCAGAUCAGAUUAUAAAUAGAUGUGACAAGAAGAUGCCAUCUUCACACAGUCUUACUAAGUCAUGGUUUUUAGGCUGGGGGGAAAAGGAAGAUUAAUAUGAAUCCCUUAAAGCUAUUAUGAGAAACAGACAGCACAUUAAUCUUCCCGUUUGCUUAGGACAGGAGAAGAAAUAAGGGGCUUACAUCUCAGCAAAAAGACCUCUCAAUUCAGAUACUGAACCAAGCUUUGUUGAAUACAGCUUGGAGGUUUGCUGGAGCCUCCAUCACUCUUAUUUGAGAAUUUAGAUGUGCAUCUGUCAAGGAAAGAAUCCCAAGCUGUCCAGCUCUGUUCUCCACAAUGGAUACUUCAGUCUUCACUGCUCACUUAGCAGUAGCUAUUUCACAUGCCGAGCCAAAAUCACACCAGAAAACACACAGACUGUUAGAUUUCUAGAGAAGUGUUGCUGCAGACGCUCCUUUUAAUUGAAUAUAAUGUCUUGUUGUAUUAGUCAAUAGCUGCCUCAUUGUUAGCAGCUUAGUUUUACUUUUUAUUACAUUUCAGUUGUCAAAAAAGACUGAAAAGAAAUAAAUCCUAGAGCUUGAUUGAUUACUUGUUCUAUUUAUUCUCUCAUUAAAAAUGAACUCUUCUCCACUACCCCUCCCCCCUCAGAGUUGAACUACCAUUUCAUCUGAUAAAAUUAAGUUACUCUUGAUUCUCAUCUCUUCCCCAUGGGUUUCCAUAAGCUCUAUCUCAUGUGACCCAGCUCAGAGCUUCAGAGACUAUUAUCUGUGUUGUGCCUUUCAGAAAGGCAGUUUGUAACGCUGUAGGCUUUGAAGAUAUCCUUUGGUGAUAUUUUGUAAAUGUACAAAUGAAGCACAAAAAUGAUUUCCCUACAGCUGCAAUGCUGAGGGGCACGAGGGGAAGUGCUGCUUGUAUGUUUCCCUGGCUCCAAUUUGGACGCAGGCAAAAGGAAACCAUCAAAAUGACCCGCUGAAAAAGCCAAAUCACAAAGGAAUAGUUUCUGGACUGUAAUGUUGUAAUACGAUGGAAAGCACAGCAACGACAGUAGAGUAGCAAAGUCUUAGGCUGCAGUAAGUAAGGAUAUGCUCAAAUGCAUCAGCUGUGGGCACACAAAGGAAAGAAUCUGCUUACCUUCAAAAUGCCUCAGGUAUGCAAAGAUCUCCA
ensembl:lncRNA